GGAAAGGCGCGCGAUACAGGGUGACAGCCCCGUACACAAAAAUGCACAUGCUGUGAGCUCGAUGAGUAGGGCGGGACACGUGGUAUCCUGUCUGAAUAUGGGGGGACCAUCCUCCAAGGCUAAAUACUCCUGACUGACCGAUAGUGAACCAGUACCGUGAGGGAAAGGCGAAAAGAACCCCGGCGAGGGGAGUGAAAAAGAACCUGAAACCGUGUACGUACAAGCAGUGGGAGCACGCUUAGGCGUGUGACUGCGUACCUUUUGUAUAAUGGGUCAGCGACUUAUAUUCUGUAGCAAGGUUAACCGAAUAGGGGAGCCGAAGGGAAACCGAGUCUUAACUGGGCGUUAAGUUGCAGGGUAUAGACCCGAAACCCGGUGAUCUAGCCAUGGGCAGGUUGAAGGUUGGGUAACACUAACUGGAGGACCGAACCGACUAAUGUUGAAAAAUUAGCGGAUGACUUGUGGCUGGGGGUGAAAGGCCAAUCAAACCGGGAGAUAGCUGGUUCUCCCCGAAAGCUAUUUAGGUAGCGCCUCGUGAAUUCAUCUCCGGGGGUAGAGCACUGUUUCGGCAAGGGGGUCAUCCCGACUUACCAACCCGAUGCAAACUGCGAAUACCGGAGAAUGUUAUCACGGGAGACACACGGCGGGUGCUAACGUCCGUCGUGAAGAGGGAAACAACCCAGACCGCCAGCUAAGGUCCCAAAGUCAUGGUUAAGUGGGAAACGAUGUGGGAAGGCCCAGACAGCCAGGAUGUUGGCUUAGAAGCAGCCAUCAUUUAAAGAAAGCGUAAUAGCUCACUGGUCGAGUCGGCCUGCGCGGAAGAUGUAACGGGGCUAAACCAUGCACCGAAGCUGCGGCAGCGACGCUGAUGCGUUGUUGGGUAGGGGAGCGUUCUGUAAGCCUGCGAAGGUGUGCUGUGAGGCAUGCUGGAGGUAUCAGAAGUGCGAAUGCUGACAUAAGUAACGAUAAAGCGGGUGAAAAGCCCGCUCGCCGGAAGACCAAGGGUUCCUGUCCAACGUUAAUCGGGGCAGGGUGAGUCGACCCCUAAGGCGAGGCCGAAAGGCGUAGUCGAUGGGAAACAGGUUAAUAUUCCUGUACUUGGUGUUACUGCGAAGGGGGGACGGAGAAGGCUAUGUUGGCCGGGCGACGGUUGUCCC
rnacentral:rRNA from 1 species